rnacentral:rRNA from 14 species
CCUUACCAGGGCUUAAAUGUAGUCUGACGUAUGCCGAAAGGUAUAUUUCUUCGGACAGAUUACAAGGUGCUGCAUGGUUGUCGUCAGCUCGUGCCGUGAGGUGUCAGGUUAAGUCCUAUAACGAGCGCAACCCCUGUGGUUAGUUGCCAGCGAGUCAAGUCGGGAACUCUAGCCAGACUGCCGGUGCAAACCGUGAGGAAGGUGGGGAUGACGUCAAAUCAUCACGGCCCUUACGUCCUGGGCUACACACGUGCUACAAUG